CCUACGGGAGGCAGCAGUGGGGAAUAUUGCACAAUGGGGGAAACCCUGAUGCAGCGACGCCGCGUGAGUGAAGAAGUAUUUCGGUACGUAAAGCCCUAUCAGCAGGGAAGAAAAUGACGGUACCUGACUAAGAAGCCCCGGCUAACUCCGUGCCAGCAGCCGCGGUAAUACGUAGGGGGCAAGCGUUAUCCGGAAUUACUGGGUGUAAAGGGAGCGUAGACGGCAGCGCAAGUCUGGAGUGAAAUCCCAUGGCUUAACCAUGGAACUGCAUUGGACACUGUGCAGCUAGAGUGCAGGAGAGGUAAGCGGAAUUCCUAGUGUAGCGGUGAAAUGCGUAGAUAUUAGGAGGAACACCAGUGGCGAAGGCGGCUUACUGGACUGUAACUGACGUUGAGGCUCGAAAGCGAGGGGAGCAAACAGGAUUAGAUACCCCUGUAGUC
rnacentral:rRNA from 1 species